AAGCAUAUCAAUAAGCGGAGGAAAAGAAACUAACAAGGAUUCCCCUAGUAACUGCGAGUGAAGCGGGAAAAGCUCAAAUUUAAAAUCUGGCGGUCUUUGGUCGUCCGAGUUGUAAUCUAGAGAAGUGAUGCCCGCGCUGGACCGUGUACAAGUCUCCUGGGAUGGAGCGUCAUAGAGGGUGAGAAUCCCGUCUUUGACACGGACUACCAGUGCUUUGUGGUACGCUCUCAACGAGUCGAGUUGUUUGGGAAUGCAGCUCAAAAUGGGUGGUAAAUUCCAUCUAAAGCUAAAUAUUGGCGAGAGACCGAUAGCGAACAAGUACCGUGAGGGAAAGAUGAAAAGAACUUUGGAAAGAGAGUUAAACAGUACGUGAAAUUGCUGAAAGGGAAACGCUUGAAGUCAGUCGCGUUGGCCGGGGAUCAGCCUCGCUUUUGCGUGGUGUACUUUCCGGUUGACGGGUCAGCAUCAAUUUUGACCGCUGGAAAAAGGCUUGGGGAAUGUGGCAGCUUCGGCUGUGUUAUAGCUUCAUGUCACAUACAGCGGUUGGGAUUGAGGAACUCAGCACGCCGCAAGGCCGGGUUUCGACCACGUUCGUGCUUAGGAUGCUGGCAUAAUGGCUUAAGCGACCCGUCUUGA
rnacentral:rRNA from 1 species